rnacentral:rRNA from 1 species
UUAAGCGACUAAGCGUACACGGUGGAUGCCCUGGCAGUCAGAGGCGAUGAAGGACGUGCUAAUCUGCGAAAAGCGCCGGCGAGGUGAUAUGAACCUUUGACCCGGCGAUGUCCGAAUGGGGAAACCCAGUGUGUUCCGACACACUAUCGUUAACUGAAUACAUAGGUUAACGAGGCGAACCGGGGGAACUGAAACAUCUAAGUACCCCGAGGAAAAGAAAUCAACCGAGAUUCCCCCAGUAGCGGCGAGCGAACGGGGAGCAGCCCAGAGUCUGAAUCAGCUUGUGUGUUAGUGGAACGGUCUGGAAAGUCCGGCGAUACAGGGUGAUAGCCCCGUACACGAAAGCACACAGGUUGUGAACUCGAAGAGUAGGGCGGGACACGUGGUAUCCUGUCUGAAUAUGGGGGGACCAUCCUCCAAGGCUAAAUACUCCUGACUGACCGAUAGUGAACCAGUACCGUGAGGGAAAGGCGAAAAGAACCCCGGCGAGGGGAGUGAAAAAGAACCUGAAACCGUGUACGUACAAGCAGUGGGAGCACCUUCGUGGUGUGACUGCGUACCUUUUGUAUAAUGGGUCAGCGACUUAUAUUCUGUAGCAAGGUUAACCGUAUAGGGGAGCCGAAGGGAAACCGAGUCUUAACUGGGCGUUAAGUUGCAGGGUAUAGACCCGAAACCCGGUGAUCUAGCCAUGGGCAGGUUGAAGGUUGGGUAACACUAACUGGAGGACCGAACCGACUAAUGUUGAAAAAUUAGCGGAUGACUUGUGGCUGGGGGUGAAAGGCCAAUCAAACCGGGAGAUAGCUGGUUCUCCCCGAAAGCUAUUUAGGUAGCGCCUCGUGAACUCAUCUUCGGGGGUAGAGCACUGUUUCGGCUAGGGGGCCAUCCCGGCUUACCAACCCGAUGCAAACUACGAAUACCGAAGAAUGUUAUCACGGGAGACACACGGCGGGUGCUAACGUCCGUCGUGAAGAGGGAAACAACCCAGACCGCCAGCUAAGGUCCCAAAGUCAUGGUUAAGUGGGAAACGAUGUGGGAAGGCACAGACAGCCAGGAUGUUGGCUUAGAAGCAGCCAUCAUUUAAAGAAAGCGUAAUAGCUCACUGGUCGAGUCGGCCUGCGCGGAAGAUGUAACGGGGCUAAACCAUGCACCGAAGCUGCGGCAGCGACGCUUAUGCGUUGUUGGGUAGGGGAGCGUUCUGUAAGCCGUUGAAGGUGUGCUGUGAGGCAUGCUGGAGGUAUCAGAAGUGCGAAUGCUGACAUAAGUAACGAUAAAGCGGGUGAAAAGCCCGCUCGCCGGAAGACCAAGGGUUCCUGUCCAACGUUAAUCGGGGCAGGGUGAGUCGACCCCUAAGGCGAGGCCGAAAGGCGUAGUCGAUGGGAAACAGGUUAAUAUUCCUGUACUUGGUGUUACUGCGAAGGGGGGACGGAGAAGGCUAUGUUAGCCGGGCGACGGUUGUCCCGGUUUAAGCAUGUAGGCGGAGGUUCCAGGUAAAUCCGGUACCUUUUAACGCUGAGGUGUGAUGACGAGGCACUACGGUGCUGAAGUAACAAAUGCCCUGCUUCCAGGAAAAGCCUCUAAGCAUCAGGUAACAUCAAAUCGUACCCCAAACCGACACAGGUGGUCAGGUAGAGAAUACCAAGGCGCUUGAGAGAACUCGGGUGAAGGAACUAGGCAAAAUGGUGCCGUAACUUCGGGAGAAGGCACGCUGAUAUGUAGGUGAAGCCCCUGCGGGUGGAGCUGAAAUCAGUCGAAGAUACCAGCUGGCUGCAACUGUUUAUUAAAAACACAGCACUGUGCAAACACGAAAGUGGACGUAUACGGUGUGACGCCUGCCCGGUGCCGGAAGGUUAAUUGAUGGGGUUAGCGGCAACGCGAAGCUCUUGAUCGAAGCCCCGGUAAACGGCGGCCGUAACUAUAACGGUCCUAAGGUAGCGAAAUUCCUUGUCGGGUAAGUUCCGACCUGCACGAAUGGCGUAAUGAUGGCCAGGCUGUCUCCACCCGAGACUCAGUGAAAUUGAACUCGCUGUGAAGAUGCAGUGUACCCGCGGCAAGACGGAAAGACCCCGUGAACCUUUACUAUAGCUUGACACUGAACACUGGUCCUUGAUGUGUAGGAUAGGUGGGAGGCUUUGAAGCGUGGACGCCAGUCUGCGUGGAGCCAACCUUGAAAUACCACCCUUUAAUGGCUGGUGUUCUAACGUAGACCCGUAAUCCGGGUUGCGGACAGUGUCUGGUGGGUAGUUUGACUGGGGCGGUCUCCUCCCAAAGAGUAACGGAGGAGCACGAAGGUUAGCUAAUCCUGGUCGGACAUCAGGAGGUUAGUGCAAUGGCAUAAGCUAGCUUGACUGCGAGAGUGACGGCUCGAGCAGGUGCGAAAGCAGGUCAUAGUGAUCCGGUGGUUCUGAAUGGAAGGGCCAUCGCUCAACGGAUAAAAGGUACUCCGGGGAUAACAGGCUGAUACCGCCCAAGAGUUCAUAUCGACGGCGGUGUUUGGCACCUCGAUGUCGGCUCAUCACAUCCUGGGGCUGAAGUAGGUCCCAAGGGUAUGGCUGUUCGCCAUUUAAAGUGGUACGCGAGCUGGGUUUAGAACGUCGUGAGACAGUUCGGUCCCUAUCUGCCGUGGGCGCUGGAGAAUUGAGGGGGGCUGCUCCUAGUACGAGAGGACCGGAGUGGACGCAUCACUGGUGUUCGGGUUGUCAUGCCAAUGGCACUGCCCGGUAGCUAAAUGCGGAAAAGAUAAGUGCUGAAAGCAUCUAAGCACGAAACUUGCCCCGAGAUGAGUUCUCCCUGAGACUUUAAGUCUCCUGAAGGAACGUUGAAGACUACGACGUUGAUAGGUCGGGUGUGUAAGCGCAGCGAUGCGUUGAGCUAACCGAUACUAAUGAACCGUGAGGCUUAACCUU